CCUACGGGAGGCUGCAGUGGGGAAUAUUGGACAAUGGGGGCAACCCUGAUCCAGCCAUGCCGCGUGUGUGAAGAAGGCCCUCGGGUGGUAAAGCACUUUCAGUGAGGAAGAACGCCUGGUGGUUAAUACCCAUCAGGAAAGACAUCACUCACAGAAGAAGCACCGGCUAACUCCGUGCCAGCAGCCGCGGUAAUACGGAGGGUGCGAGCGUUAAUCGGAAUUACUGGGCGUAAAGCGCGCGUAGGUGGCUUGAUAAGCCGGUUGUGAAAGCCCCGGGCUCAACCUGGGAACGGCAUCCGGAACUGUCAAGCUAGAGUGCAGGAGAGGAAGGUAGAAUUCCCGGUGUAGCGGUGAAAUGCGUAGAGAUCGGGAGGAAUACCAGUGGCGAAGGCGGCCUUCUGGACUGACACUGACACUGAGGUGCGAAAGCGUGGGUAGCAAACAGGAUUAGAUACCCGAGUAGUC
rnacentral:rRNA from 1 species